AUUAUGGACAGUCAAUUCGCUCUGAACGCUCCAUCAAGCAAGAUCUAAAGUUGUCGUCGCCAUGAACUCCCACAAAGAGCUUUCAACAACAUCGUCGUUUGUCUCCUAUGGGAACAACGAAGAAAAUCCCGUCGAUCGCAAUAUUUAUUCAACGACGAGUUGGUCCAUUAUACAGGACGAGCAUCGCAGUGAGUGCAUAAAAACGGGAUGCGACAAAACGAUAAUACAUGUGAGGAGUUGUGAUGCGUGGAAAAACGUGAGAUGGAGACUUGGCAACGGCUGUUGUGAGAUUUGUGCAACGUUUGGAGAGUGUUUAAAGUUUGGUGCAUUUUGAAAACUUUGAUGUCCAACUGAUCUAAGUUGAGCGUUCGUGUACGAAAAAGUGAUAGAAAAUGUGCUAUCGAGUAAAGUGUGUGAUGACGAGUAAAGUGAUAAGUGAGCAACGGUGCAACGAAGCCGCAGACAAGGGGAAGGUAGCCGCAAUCUGAGGCUAAGCAGUGAUCGCACGAGACACGCAACAGAAGUGGAACCGGAUGAGAUGGAUAUUACCGACCAUGAAGUGAAAAUAAUUGAAAACUACGUUAGACACAGCCCACGAAGCUGUAAAUCAAAUCGCAAAAGAGCCUAAAGAUCUCAAGCAACUAGGCAGCCGUUAUCCGUCCAGCGUCCUCAGACGUUCAAGUCGAUUGAAGAAGACGACAAACACAAAAAGCGCAAGGUGCGCUUUUCGCGGCGGAAUGGUGCGGCACAGAAACUGCCCGAGUCAUGUAAACUUGACAUGUCUCGGCUGCAAGCUCGCGUUACCGGAGAGCAGCUCGACACUGACCUAAUGCAUCGGAGUCGUCGCAGAUAAACGCACAAUCAACCGGAUUAAUAACCAAGCUGGAGUCGAAGCAGCGUAGUCAACAUUCGGCUGACAGGACAGCUGAUCGCUAAUAAGUUUACUUAUACACGGCAUAGGCCGUAGAUACACUUGGAGCUUAUGCUUCAGUGUGAAACGUUGUACUUCCAAUUUGGUCGCAUAAUCGUGUUUUGUGUGCUUUACCUUUCUUUCUUUCGUUCUUAGUACGUACAUGCUCUACUUUUACCAUUCAUUUUAAAAGAUCUCCCAGUUUUACAAGAGCGAACUCUCCAAUUGCAGUUGAAGUCCUGACUUGCCAAACACAUGGGUUAUUCACUUUAAUAGGAAAUUGUGUAAUUCCUAUUCGAAGUGCUUCUAUAGCCCUGUGCGGGUAAAUCAUUCUUUUGAGAGCAUUUAUUGCUUAAUUCCGUGUAGUACUAUGAUUGGAUUGGCAACCUGAGAUUACUAACUGUUCUUACAUCCUUCAUAACGUACCCUCUCUUUGUUUCUUACUUCCACAGGUCUGAUUCUUAACGGGAUCGGUUUUCACCUUGUGUACAAACCACAUUCCUUGUAUGGAAGUAACAUUCCCUGAAGUGGCCUUUCCUUAUGGGCCUUUACUAAAGGCCAGCAUUCUUCUGGUUUUGAGUUUCGUGUCAGUUUGUCAUAUAUCAAUUGACCCCAUCUGUCUCAUUCAUAGCAUGCUUUCUUCGAAGGUAUCCUCCGAUACACACAGUCGCGUCGUAGACGAAGGAAUGAUUUCCUUUUCACCACCUUUUGAAAUUUUGAAAGUUUGACUUACCCCUUGCCACUUCGGAUCUGGUAGAAUUUGUUAGAUAGAGGAAGGAAUUACGGGUGAAGAGACAAAUCUACGUGCUUUACCAUUCGAACAGUUAUGAUCUACCUUGUAUUUGAUGAUUGCUUCUUCUUCUCUGAAGCGCAGUUAAUGCACAAGGGAUCGAAGAUGCAGUCUCCGUGGGCAGGCGUACCGCAGUUGGUGCAGGAUUGUGCUACUUUGUAACUCAUUUUGGUGUGGCCGUAAUGAGCGCAGUGGUAGCACAUCAUGGGUUGAGGUGGCGUUUAUACGAAGCAGGAAAAUGUGAGUAUUCACGAUGUCUCCGUUCAUCUUUCGCGUGAAUCUACGCACAAAAAUCACUUGCUGGUCCUUGAGUUCUUUUAAAAUUUCGUCGUCGCUGAGGCCUUUUAGGUUGGAUUGGACACUAUUGAGGUUGGUAUGGGGAGUCACUGUCACCGGGAUUCCGUCAAUAACUUUAGUAAGGGAUUGGAGCGAUCAGAAUUGUUUUGAGCUACGGGUUUUAAUAAGGAGUUUUUUACCGUUGUCGAUCGGUUUUUCCGGGCUCGGAAAAUUGACCAGCAAGGGAGGAAAGGGAUUUGCCAAUAACAAAAGAGUUUUUAGGGAGAGGGGAUCCGUCGGUCGUUUGCAAAACUAAAAAUUUCAUGUCACCGUGUUCGUCUUUACUGUCCAUGUAUAGGGGCAAGGACCUCUCAUUACGAGAGGGCCCUCUCAGGGAAAAGUGGGCCUGGCAGUAUAACUCCUCACCUCUGAAACGUCUUUUGGCCUCUCAAAUUUCAAAAUGUCUGAUAUUUUCUGCCUUGUGGGGAGUAUUCCCCUUUCGUCGAUUGUGAACCCUAAAAACUCUACCUCCUCUUGAUCAUACAAUGAUUUCUUUUCAUUGAUUGCCAAAUCAUUCAAUUGCAUAACCAUUUUCACUUCUUUUCCCAUGUUGCUCAAUUCUUCUAAUGAGCGCGCGUAAACAAGAACAUCAUCCAUGUAUACGAUACUAUUCUUGACGUUGGUAAAUAAUCUCAUCAUGACACUUUGGAAUAACUCAGGUGCACACGACAAGCCAAAAGGCAACCUUGUGAAACGCAUCAAUUAGCCGUCAUAAAGGUAGUAAAAUUACGAACCUCCUUAUGAAGCUCUAUAUGGAAGUAUGCAUCUUUUAUGUCCAACUUAGUAAAGAAAAACCCCCCAUUAUUAUGCGAUAUUUCUGUCCAUAGCUUUUCAAGAGAUGGCAUUGGAUAAGGUUCACGAAUAAUGGCCUUAUUUACCUCGCGAUAAUCAAUCACCAUUCGUUAAUCUUUUGGGCCUUUUGGAACUAGAACCAAGGGUGACGCAAAUGUUAUUUUGUCCUCAGUUCCGUCAGCUCUUUUGUUAAUUUUUUUCUCUCCAUGUCAGCAAUUCUCUCAUUAACUGCAUUUUCGAACGCCAUUGGAACGUUGUAUCUAAUUAUCUGUUUCGGUAUUACCGAAUUGUCUGACAGAUCGGUAUUACCGAAUCCUGAUUCGAUAUUACCGAAUCCUUUUUGGUCUUUCAGACCUAUUCUAAGCAACCCCAACUGACACGCUGUCUCAAAACCGAGAAGGGAUACCUCUGUGCCAUCUACUACACAAAACUAAGCAAAUUGCCUACUUUCCCUACAUCCUUAGCUUCUACACACGCCUUAAAUGAAAAAAUUACAUGUAAAGAACGUUGGGUUGCUGCAUACCCUCUUAAAUUUUCCUCUGGGUGGGAAAUCAAUUCCUGAACCACAGAACGACAUUCUUUCUUGAUUUCACUCCAUCUCUUGGUAGUGAGCGUGUUAACUGUUGCUCCCGAGUCUACUAAAAAAUUAAUCACCAAUGAUCAUUGGUGAUCAUUGUGAUUUUUUUUUUUUUUGGUGAUCAAUUGGUGAUAUGGCAUUUUUGUCAUUCGAGAUUCAUUCUCCCGAAUUUUUUCCCAUUUUAACCUAUAAGGCUUAUCCCGACGAGCUACAUUGUUCAUUAACCUUACAGCGUUCACUGGUCUUAAAACUGACCGCUGAUCCUCCUCCGCUCGUUGAGAUGCUAUCUCCAUUCCACAAGGUUUUAAUUCCUCAGGCUCCGUGCGGAUUUCCGAAAAAACUUGCCAUUUUGUAUAACUUAUCGGCAAUUGUCUGAAUCGAACGCCUUGUUAUAGCCUGCAUCAUCUCCUCCUCCCGCUGUAUUUCCACGAAUUCUCAUAAAGAUGCUUGCUUCUCCAGCACCCAAUCUGCAAACGGCUCCUUAGCAUUCAUCCUUAUUUCCCGGAAUUUCAGUCGCUCUUUCGACGCAUCGCACAAAUCGUUAAAAUAAGUAUCGAGUGCUCGGAUCGUUUCCUUUUAAAUGUCUGGAGUUUUAGGUGCCAAAUUCCGCUCCUGCAUCUCGAUUAUACGCAGCAAAUAGCUUCCCGUCACUUGGGUUUUCGGAUCAACAGACGCCUUGCACGCCACUAUCCUCUCGAACUGAUCACGAAAACGCAUCCACUCAGCCUUUCGCUUAUUCGUUGGAACCGAUUCGUCGAACUGCUUCAACGGCCAGGAGCCCGGCAACUGCCUGAUGUGUUCGUGGUAAAUUUAUAAGGCAUGUCGGCAGAUCUUUAAAAUGCCUACUCUGAGCUAUAAAAUAAGAAAGUUUGACUUACCGUUUUCGGUGUUACCUUUCCUUGAAGUGCCCGGUAGUUUAAUGUGGUCUCGAUCUCGCUGAUACUUCACUCCGGAGUCGUACUAAAAUACCAUCUGCGCCGAUGGUCACUGACUUACUCCGUUAAUAUACGCCUUACGAGAACUCGUUCCCACGUGCUUAUUGCUAAUAAGCUUCCUUUAUGCACUGGUAAUUUUAAGUCCUAAAUUUGUUUAAACUUGAGCGCUUUAAUGCGAUCGCAACGUCAUUCACUCGGUUAACUUAUUGUUCUGCGGUUAACCGGUAUUGUUAAACAUCUAUGCUGUAAUACGCUUUCUUUCAUAAGCAUAGACGUCUUCGCUAAACAUUUAAAGUUUCUUUCGAGUUGUUUCGGAUUUUUUUCACUAAAUCACCAAAUUAUCCAACCUUCA